AUGGUUACUUGGGACCCACUAUCCAGUAUGGCUGUACAGGGGUUACCGUUCACUCUCACUUGCACUGUAGAAGGUGGAAACAUGAGACCUUAGGGAAGC